GGGGACGAUCUGGCUUCGACGGGCAGAUGAAGGAGUGGCAGAACAGCAUGUCGGGAUUUCUCGCUACCCCGUAAAAUAGUGGGAAAACAAAUAAUUGACAACUAUAGCUAUGCUAUGGCUGCUUAAAAAAAGCAGCCCGUCCACUACUGAUCUUGCCCAUUAGGUCAGUAGAUGGGCGUCGUCAAAAAUGGGCCGAUUUGCUUUGUAGUCCGGGCAAAGCAAAUCUGAUUUGAAUCCGGACUCGCCGUCUAAAGGCUUGCCGAACUGCCUGAUGACGGUUAAAUAAAACCGUUCGGCUAAGCAUGUAGAAGUUCUGUUAGUCUCCUGCCCGGACCCGGGUUCGAUUCCCGGCGUCUCCACCA
rnacentral:tmRNA from 1 species